GACGAACGCUGGCGGCGUGCUAACACAUGCAAGUCGAACGGAAAGGCCCCUUUGUUGGUACUCGAGUGGCGAUCGGGAGAGUAACACGUGAGUAACCUGCCCUUGACUUCGGGAUAACUUCAGGAAACGGGGGCUAAUACCGGAUAGGAAUCCUUUCUGCAUGGCGUGGGUUUUACAGAUUCGGUGGUUUUGGAUGGAUUCGCGGGUUAUCAGCGUUUUGGUGGGGUAGUGGCUUACGAAGGCCUUGACGGGUAGCCGGCCUGGGAGGGGGACCGGCCACAUUAGGCCUGAGGUACGGCCCAGAAGCGUACGGGAGGCAGUGGUGGGGAAUAUUACUCAAUGAGCGGACGCCAGAGGCGGCGACGCCGCGAGCGGGAAGACGGGCUUCGGGUUGUAAACCGGUGUCAGCAGGGGCGAAGCUUGUGGUGACGGUACCUUAAGAAGAAGCACCGGCUAACUACGUG
rnacentral:rRNA from 1 species